rnacentral:tRNA from 1 species
GGCCUCGUGGUCUAGUGGUAUGAUUCUCGCUUCGGGUGCGAGAGGUCCCGGGUUCAGAUUCCCGGUGAGGCCC